rnacentral:rRNA from 1 species
GUCUAUGGCCAUACCACCCUGAACACGCCUGAUCUCAUCUGACCUCGGAAGCUAAGCAGGGUCAGGCCUGGUUAGUACUUGGAGGGGAGAAAUAUAUGGUAGUAUAAUUU